AGGUAGUGACAAGAAAUAACAAUACAGGGCAUAUGUCUUGUAAUUGGAAUGAUGGCGACUUAAACCCUCGCCAGAGUAACAAUUGGAGGGCAAGUCUGGUGCCAGCAGCCGCGGUAAUUCCAGCUCCAAUAGCGUAUAUUAAACUUGUUGCAGUUAAAAAGCUCGUAGUUGAACUUUUGCGUUGCCUUUUUCCUGCUUUUUGCGGGUUUUUGGCUUCGCUUUUUCUUUUUACUUUGAGAAAAUUAGAGUGUUCAUCGCAGACUUUUGUCUUGAAUACUUCAGCAUGGAAUAAUAGAGUAGGACUUUGGUUCUAUUUUGUUGGUUUUGGGACCUUGGUAAUGGUUAAUAGGAACG
rnacentral:rRNA from 1 species